UUCCUCAACAACACAAGUCUACCCGUCC
rnacentral:sRNA from 1 species